rnacentral:lncRNA from 1 species
AGAGUUUUCACUAAAUCAAACUGAUAGGAUAUGUAGCUUGUUUGGUUGCUCUCUUGCAGUAAAAGUUAGGUCAAGACACUAUGACAGGUUUUGGCCGUUAUACUAUAAAUCAUGGUGAGAAAUGCAUGAAUGUAUUAAGUCUUGCAGAAAGCUUGGGAGGAGCUGCUGACAAUGGAAUUGAGGAAGAAAAGUCUCGUUGAAUUCAUUAGAAAAUGGUACAUCUCUUAGCUCCAUUUGUUUUCAAAUAUCUUCUGCCAUUUCUGUUGUUGCAGGUUUUCGACGCAGAAUGAGAAUGAUUAAAGGUCAAGGGUUCUAAAAUCCAAAAACAUUAUGACACAAAGUUCUACUAAUAGUUCCAUCUUAUGAUGCAGCAUGAUGUCCUUUCAUAGUUUUAGGAACUUCUACAAGCAGGAUUUAUUGCUGUUGAAGAUCUUACACAUCUUCUUGUCCCUCUAUGACAUGACGCUGGGACUAAGAUCCUGAUCCACUGAACUUUAGCAAGACUCUCAAAUUCACAAGGGUUUUCAUUUCAGUUGCCUUGUCUUAGUAAACCUGAGAUCGAUCUCAGGCUGAGGAAAG